rnacentral:lncRNA from 1 species
ACCCCGGGACCGGCUCUUAAAGGGACCACGCGGCGUCCGGGACCCCGCCUCCAGGAAGCCCUCCCGGCCCCGGGCCCCGCGUCACCCAGGCCCCCCGUCACCCGGGCCCCCGGCCGCGUCGCACAGACCCCGGACGGUCCAGCUGAGCGGCUCCGGGCGCGAAGUCCUCCCCCCGACCCGGACAGGCGCCGGCGCCGCUCCCCCCUUCUCCUGGCCUUUGUUGGCGCUGGGCCGCCGCCGGGGAGCCCUCCCCAGACCCAGGCGCGGCGUUUUACCUGCAGCGGCUGUGCUCGCCCCGCCGCGACCCCCGCAGGACGGAGCCGGAUCCCCCUGCACUCGGGCGGACCUGGGACCCUCAGAGGCGAGCCGGCUGCCUCGGGUCACACAUCCGCGAACUCCGGGGGCGGGCUCCCCAGGACGCCGCCGACCCCCCACGACCCCCAGCCCUCCCGCUUCCGUGGAAAGCCGCCCCGACGACCCCUGUGCGGGCUGUUGAGGGGCCGCACCCCGCCGACCGCUGUGGGAACACCUCCGCGCGUGCGGCGGGGACGCGGCGAGUCCGGGGCAGGAAGAACGCACGGGUAAUUGCACCUUCGGCAGGUGUUGGGCGGGAGCAAGGGGGUCAGACUCGCGCUGCAGGGGGAGGGCGGGGGAGGCCUCGCUGUCCUGGAGGAAGGGGACAAAGACCCCUGCCCAGGAGCCUGGGAGCCUUUGAAAGUAAUGAUUUUUUGGCGGGGGGGGGUUGUCACGAGACACCCUAGACAUUUCUAAAAGGCCCCCUCCCCGCUGCCGGGUGGAGAGGGAGCGUGGGGGGAUCCGCCUUCUGCCCCCGAGCCCCCAGCCAGCCUGGGCCCCCCAGGGUCACCCUGGGGCUCUGAAGGGGGCUUCGGCCGCUGGUUGAAUGAAGGGCCACAGAAAAUGAAGCUGGCGCAACGACCGCAGAACCCUCAGUGGGCACCAGGACCACGGAGCUCAGGGUGCCAAUGGUGAUGGCUGGGGGUGGGGAGUACUGUGGGCAGCAGGGGAUGCUGAGCGGGGUUUGGGGCUCCCCCUUUCCAUACUCAGUCUUCCUGCCAGCCUCAGAGCUGAGUACACCGUUGGCGAUUAAUAAGCGCUUGCAGCUCCCUUCCCUGGCCAGCCUGAGGGGAGCGGCAGUGGCCCGUAUGGGGUGGGGGUGGCGGUGGAGUGCGUCCUGGCGCAGAGCUGGCACACAGCACAAACAAACGCCUUGGCGGGAGUGGGUCUGUCCCGGAAGGGAGCCCAGGGGUUAUUGGGGUUGGGGCUGCGCCCCAAAGCGGGAGGGCCCUGCGAGAAGGGAGGCCCUGGCUGGAGGGGGACCCUGAGACUGGAGGUGCCGGACCCGGAUGCGGGGCCAGGUGAGUAGGGCUGCCUGCUGCAGCCUUGCUGGGUUUGAAAAGUGGGGGAGGCUUGGCCCUGGGAGGGGGCAGGAGGAUUCAGGCUGAGACCCGGAGGGGGCGAAGGAGGUCCUUGAGGAGGCAGUCACAGGCCUGAAAGGACCUGGGACCCGCAGGCAUGGGAGCUGUUAGCCGUUAGAUAGAGGGGCUGUCGCCUGGGGGGAAGCCUCACCUGGCUUGUUCCCCCUGCCAGGCCUAGGUGAGCCCGAUGGGCGUGUCUUCUGCCCAGCUGGGAUGUGGCCAGCAUCUGCCUGUGGCCUGGGAGUGCCCAUUGUCCCCUAAGAGCUCUGGUUAUACCCUGGGCAGCUACUGGCCAGGCUGGAGCAGGUGGCAGGCAGCGACCUUUAGUCCCUCCUGGAGGCUCCCAGGGGGCGGUUUGGAGGGGAAUACGGCUCCCCUGGAGGGCCUGGGCUGUCCCUGGGGGGCAGAGUGCCCUGGGCGGCGAUUGUUAUAAUCCCCGUAGCCAUUUUCAUGCAAAUAAGCACUGAGAGCGUUAGGUUCUGCCCCUAACCAGGCUGGCGGACUAGGGAGGUGGCACCCUGGGGAGGACGGUGGUUUUUCUGCAGCCCCGCCUUAGUUCCACGUUGCCUUUGCACCCAGCAGAGGCCGGCCUGGGCGGUGGGCUCAGGGGCCUGGGUGCCCGACCAGGUCGGCUCGGCUCAGCUCAGCUCGGCGGCCGCACCGCCUCCCGGCACAGGUGUGGACGGGGGUGGGAGGCGCGACCAGGGAGGGGGCUGCGGUGUCAGUCCCGGCCCGGGCCUGUAGACGCCGCCUCGGGGGUCUCUGGGGCUCGGGAGGACCUUGCGAGGGGCCGGGGAGGCGCCAAGGCCGCGGCGAGGGACGUGCGGGGGUCCAGCAGCCUGGGGCGGGGACGCGCGCUCCGGGCCGUGCAGGUGGGGGUCCGAGCGGGGCCGGCCCGGCGGUUCGCGCGCGCCCUCUGCCGUCCGCAGGCCGUGGCGCAGGCUCGGCCGCCUGAAGCUCCUCUCGCCUCCGGGAGGACGUCCAAGGUCGUUUCUUAAAGCAUCCCUAUUGCGCAGAAGGAACAGUGGGGUUCACUUUUCUCGCUAAUGUGCAUAUAAUCGUUGCAACUAAUUAUGUGUAGCAAACCUCCAUGCCACUAUUUCCCCAACUUUUUUAAGUCAAGGCAUAGCUAACUCAAUACAAUGCCCAUCCCAGCUGUUCAAGUAGACUUUUUCUCCCGUUAUUUCUUUAAAAACCGUAUGAUUUUUUCUUGUGGUAAAAUGCAUGCAGGAACAUACGGUGUGCCAUAUUAACUAUUUUUAAGUGAAUUUGGCAGCAUUAAGUACAUUCACUUUCUGUGUAACCGUCACCACCACCCAUCUCUGGAGCUUUUCGUCUUGGAAAACUGGAACUCUACUCUGUCCUCAUUAGACACCAACUUCCCAACCCCCUCCCCAGCCCUUGGCACCCAUUAUUCAAGUAGAUUUUUUUUUUUUUUUGACGGAGUCUCAUUCUUGUCGCCCAGGCUGGAGUGGAGUGGUACGAUCUCAGCUCACUGCAACCUCCAUCUCCUGGGUUCAAGCGAUUCUCCUGCCUCAGCCUCCCAAGUAGCUGGGAUUACAGGCGGCCACUACCAUGCCCAGCUAAUUUUGUGUGUUUAGUAGAGAUGGGGUUUCACCAUGUUGGCCAGGAUGGUCUCGAACUCCUGACCUCAGGUGAUCCUCCCGUCUUGGCCUCCCAAAGUGCUGGGAUUACAGGCGUGAGCCACUGCACCCAGCCAGUAGAUGGGUUUUGACAACUGUAUAUGUAGUUUUAUCACCAUCAAAAUGAGACCUAGAAACUUUAUUAUCCCAGAAGUUCCCUGGUGCCCUGUCCUCACCCUCUGACCUGUCACCGUGAGUUACUGCUAUCUGUUCGUACACUUUAUAAAAAUGGAAACAAUGGAAACAAACAAUGAGAGGACUUUUGCCCCUGGCAUCUUUCACUCAAGGAAAUACUUUUUUUUUUUUCCAGACAGAGUCUCUUUGUUCCCCCAGGUUGGAGUGGAGUGGCGCGAUCUCAGCUCGCUGCAACCUCCGACUCCCGGUUUCAAGCGAUUCGCCAGCCUCAGCCUCCUGAGUAGCUGGGAUUACAGGCGCCCGCCACCACGCCCAUCUAAAUUUUGUAUUUUUUAGUAGAGAUUGGGUUUCACCACGUUGGCCAGGCUCGUCUCGAACUCCUGACCUCAGGUGAUCUGCCCACCUUGGCCUCCCAAAGUGCUGGGAUUACAGGCGUGAACCACCUUGCUUGGCCUUAAGGAAAUACUUUUGAGAUUCGUCCACAUUGCUGCUUUCCCACAACCUGAUGAUAACGUCUGUGUGGUUCUGUAUUUCAUGGGUGUAUGGCAAGAGUGGAACCAAUUCUUUAUUUUUUACAUAUUAGAUUAUUUUCAUAUUUGGGCUAUAAAAAACUGCAGCAGGCCGGGCACGGUGGCUCAUGCCUGUAAUCCCAGCACUUUGGGAGGCCGAGGCGGGUGGAUCAUGAGGUCAGGAGAUCGUGACCAUCCUGGCUAAUGUGAUGAAACUCUGUCUCUACUAAAAAUCCAAAAAAUUAGCUGGGCGUGGUGGCGGGCGCCUGUAGUCCCAGCUACUUGGGAAGCUGAGGCAGGAGAAUUGCUUGAACCCGGGAGGCGGAACUUGCAGUGAGCCGAGAUCGCACCACUGCACUCCAGCCUGGGUGACAGAGCGAGACUCCAUCUCAAACAAAAAACAAAAAAGAAAACAAACAAAAAAACUGCAGCAGACAGCAUCCUAUUGUAUAUGCUUAAAAAAAGAGAUAUGGGAUCCCUCUAUUUUAUCCAGGCUGGACUGAACUCUUCCUGGGCCCAAGUGAUCCUCCUGCUUCAGGCUUCCCGUAGCUGAGAUUAUAGGCACGUGCCACCACACCCAACUCUUACAUGUUUGUAACACACUUCUCAGAUUAUUUUUCUUUCUUCCCUCUCUCUCUUUCUCCAUUUCCUUCAUUCCUUCCUUCUGUCCUUCUGUCCUUCCUGUCUUCCUUUUCUUUCUUGACAGGAUCUCACUCUGUCACCCAGGCCAGAGGGCACUGGUGGAAAUAUAGCUCACAGCAGUCUCAACCUCCUGAGCUCAAGGGAUCCUCCCAUCACAGCCUCCUGAGUAGCUGGCACUACAGGCAUGUGCCAGCAUCUCCAGCUAAUUAAAAAAAUUUUUUUUGGCCAGGUGUGGUGGUGCGUGCCUGUAAUCCUAGCUACUCGGGAGGCUGAGACACCAGAAUCGCUUGAACCCAGGAUGCGGAGCUUGCAGUGAGCCAAGAUCGUGGCACUGUACUCCAGCCUGGGCAACGGAAUGAAACUCCAUCUCAGAAAAAAAAAAUUUUUUUUGUAGAGAUGAAGUCUCACUAUGUUACCGAGGCUGGUCGCAAAUUCCUGGGCUCAAGCAAUCCUCCUCUCUUGGCCUUCAGCCUUCCAAAAUGCUGGGAUUACAGGAUUAUUUUCUUUCCUAGUUUUUUUUUUUUUUUUUUUGGAUGGCAUCUCGCUCUGUUGCCCAGGCUGGAGUACACUGGUGCGAUCUCAGCUCACUGCAACCUCCACCUCCUGGGUUCAAGCGAUUCUCCUGCCUCAGCCUCCUGAGUAGCUGGGAUUACAGGCGCCUGCCAUCAUGCCCUGCUAAUUUUUGUAGUUUUAGUAGAGACAGGGUUUCACCAUGUUGGCCAGGCUGGUCUCGAACUCCUGACCUCAGGUGAUCUGCCCGCCUCGGUCUCCCAAAGUGCUGGGAUGACAGGCGUGAGCCACAGCGCCCCCUGCCCCCAACUCCCAUGUCCCCAGAUAUUGCAAAGUUGCCCUGAGUGGAGAAUUCUAAUAACUUGCCAGCAGGCUAGAAGAACUCCAUUUAAAACCCUUGCCAGGGCUGGGCAUGGUGGCUAACACCUGUAAUCCCAGCACUUUGGGAGGUUGAGGUGGGCGGAUCACCUGAGGUCAGGAGCUUGAGACCAGCGUGGCCAACAUGGUGAAACCCCAUCUCUACUAAAAAAUACAAAAAUUAGCCGGGUGUGGUGGUGGGCACCUGUAAUCCCAGCUGCUUAGGAGGCUGAAGCAGGAGAAUCCCUUGAACCCGGGAGGUGGAGGUUGCGGUGAGCUGUGAUUGUGCCAUUGCACUCUAGCUUGGGCAACAAGGGCAAAACUCUGUCUCAAAAUAAAAUAAAAUAAAACCCUUGCCAACACUUGGGAUUUUAUGCAUUUUGAUUAUAGCUGCAUUACUUGAUGGGUUGACUAGGAGGACACUGGAGUGUCUUCUCACACAGACUCCAUAUUUAGUUUGAAGACGUCCUUCUAUAUUGCCUUAUAAUCUUCCCCAGGGAGGCCUUACAGUCUUCCCAUUGCGUAUAUUACUCCUGAGCUUAUGAUUUCGGUUGCUUUGUGAAAGGUUAUAAAAACCACAAUUUCUGAUGUGUUGUUGCCUGUCAUGGGCUGGCUGUCGAUCACCCUCUCUGACUUCUCUUACUCCUCCAAGCAGGCCGCCUGUAGGUUCACUUGGAUUUCCCAGGUAGAUGGCCCUAUCAUCUAUGAAUCUGCACUUUCGUUUCUUUCCAAACCUCACAUUGCUUGUUUCUUGUCAUAUUGCAUGGGCUGGCAUCACCAUUAUAAUGCUAAGUGGACAUGGUGAUGGUGGGAGUCUUAGCUUCCAUUCCCCAGAAAGUAGCCAGAUGCAAAGCUCAGUGUACACAUUUUCUGGAAGGGAGGAACACACCGAGCCAGGGAGGAGGUGAAGCUGAGGCAAGGCUGCUUCUUACUCAGCUGCUGUGGCUUUUUGGAAGUUGCAGCUCAGCUGGCCACGUCUGCACACCCUCUCCCACGAGACCAUACAGCGAUGCUCCACCUCAGAAUGGUCCACAGGGAGGAGGAAGGGAGAAUAGUUUCUCUGCAAGCUCCUUCCUGUCUUCUGCUCUCAUAGGUCAGAGUUGCUCUCCCGAGGAAUUAAGUUCCCUGCAUCUUCAGGUGGUGUUACUGGCCCCUCUUGGCAGCUGCUGGGCAGGCCAGAGUGUCUGAGGGUUUGGGGAAGCUGGCACAUUGUGUGGAGUGAGAGAGAGGUUCAUUAAAAUUCCCAAUUAUUCCUAUACAUUCCCAAUUAUAGUCCCAAUUGUAUUUGUGGAUUUAUCUAUUUCUUAUUUUAGUUUUGUCAAUGUUUGCUUUAUAUGUUUUAAAGCUCAGUUAUUUGGCACAUAGAAGUUUAGGAUUGUUUUCUGUUUGGUUGCAUGAACUCUCCUAUCAUCAUGAAAUGUUAUCUCUUCUAAUAAUGGUUUUGUUUCAAAGUCCACAUUGUCUGAUCUUACUAUCAUUAUACUAGGUUUUUGAAAACAUUAAUGUUUGCCUAAUAUAUCUUUUUUUUUAUUCUUUUGCUUUCUAUCUUCCUGGAUCUUGAUAUUUAGGGUUUGUUUUUUCUAAACAACAUGCAUCUUAUUUAACUUCUCUCUGUUUUUUUUUCUUUCCUUUUUUUUUUGAGACAGAGUCUCACUCCGUCACCCAGGCUGGAGUGCAAUGGUGCAAUCUCGAGUCACUGCAGCCUCUGCCUCCCAGAUUCAAGCGAUUCUUGUGCCUCAGCCUCCCAAGUAGCUGGAAUUAUAGGCACGGGCCACCACACCUGGCUAAUUUUUUGUACUUUUAGUAGAGACGAGGUUUCACCAUGUUGGCCAGGCUGGUCUCAAACUCCUGACCUCAAGUGAUCAGCCUGCCUUGGCCUCCCAAAGAGCUGGGAUUACAGGCAUGAGCCACCGUACCUGGCCUAAUUUCUGUCUUCUGUUAGCUUCCGGGUUAUGUAUUCAUUAUCCUUUAAUGGCUACCUUAGAGAUGGUUAUAUUUAUUUAUUUAUUUUUUUGAGAUGGGGUCUCACUCUGUUAUCCAAGCUGGAGUGCAGUGGCAUAAUCAUGGCUCACUGCAGACUUGACCUCCCAGGCUCAGGUGAUUCUCCCACCUCAGCCUCCUGAGUAGCUAGGACUAUAGGCACCUGCCAACACACCCGGCUAAUUUGUGUAUUUUUGGUAGAGAUGGAGUUUUGCCAUGUUGCCCAGGCUGGUUUUGAAUUCCUGGUCUUGAGCAAUCCAUCUGCCUUGGCUUCCCGAAGUGCUGGGACUACAGGCGUGAGCUUCUGCACCCAUCCAGAGAUUAUGAUAACAUAUUAUCAGUUAAUAAUCUCGUGUCUUCAUAAACAAGGCAAGAACCUUACAACUAUUUAAUUCUGUUUAUCCCUCUCCUGACUUCUGUGCUGUUGUCAUAUAUUUUACUUCCACAAAGUUUAAAAAUUUUAUAGGACAUUGAAUAUUGUUUUAUUUAUUUAUUUAGAGACGGAGUCUUGCUCUGUUGCCCAGGCUGGAGUGCAAUGGUGCAAUCUUGGCUCACUACAACCUCUGCCUCCCAGGUUCAAGCAAUUCUCUUGUCUCAGCCUCCGAAGUAGCUGGGAUUACAGGUGCCCACCACCAUGCCCAGCUACUUUUUUUUUUGUUUUUUUUUUGAGAUAGAGUCUUGCUCUUGUUGCCCAGGCUGGAGUGCAGUGGUGCGAUCUCGGCGCACUGCAACCUCCACAUCCCGGGUUCAAGCGAUUCUCCUGCUUCACCCUCCUGAGUAGCUGGGACUACAGGCGCAUGCCACUACACCCGGCUAAUAUUUUGUAUUUUUAGUUGAGACAGGAUUUUACCAUGUUGGCCAGGCUGGUCUCGAUUUCCUGACCUGUGAUCUGCCUGCCUCGGCCUCCCAAAGUGCUGAGAUUACAGGCGUGAGCCACUGUGCCCAGCCCUUGGCUACUUUUUAUAUUUUUAGUACAGACAGGGUUUCAUCAUGUCGGCCAGUCUGGUCUUGAACUCCUGACCUUGUGAUACACUCACCUCGGCCUCGCAAAGUGCUGGGAUUACAGGCGUGAGCCACCGUGCCUGGCCCUUGGCUACUUUUUAUAUUUUUAGUAGAGAUGGGGUUUCACCAUGUUGGCCAGUCUGGUCUCGAACUCCUGACCUCAGGUGAUCCGCCCUCCUCGGCCUCCCAAAGCACUGGGAUUACAAGCGUGAGCCACUGUGCCUGGCCCAAUCAUAGUUAUUUUAAAGCCCUUGUUUCCUAACUCCAAUAUGUGGCUUAUCUGUAAUCUGCUUCUUCUGUUAGCUUUCCGCAUGAUUAUUGAUCACUGUUUCCUGCUGUGUCCUGUAUCUCGUGCUUUCUGUCAGAGGUAUGCCUCAAAGGACCGUGGGGGUCCAUAUCUAGGGACCGUGGGGGGUCCAUAUGUCGGGACCGUGGGGGUGUCUAUAUCUCGGGACCGUGGGGGUCCAUAUCUAAGGACCGUGGGGGUCCAUAUCUUGGGACCAUGGGGGGUCUAUAUGUCAGGACCGUGGGGGUCUAUAUCUAAGGACCGUGGGGUUCUGUAUCUCAGGACCGUGGGGGUCCAUAUCUAGGGACCGUGGGGGUCCAUAUCUAGGGACCGUGGGGGGUCCAUAUGUCGGGACCGUGGGGGUGUCUAUAUCUCGGGACCGUGGGGGUCCAUAUCUAAGGACUGUGGGGGUCCAUAUCUUGGGACCAUGGGGGGUCUAUAUGUCAGGACCGUGGGGGUCUAUAUCUAAGGACCGUGGGGUUCUGUAUCUCAGGACCGUGGGGGUCUGUAUCUAGGGACCGUGGGGAUCUGUAUCUAGGGACCGUGCGGAUCUGUAUCUAGGGACUGUGGGAGUCUAUAUCUAAGGACCGUGGGGUCUAUAUCUAGGGACCGUGGGGGUCCAUAUCUCAGGACCGUGGGGAUCUGUAUCUCAGGACCGUGGGGGUCUGUAUCUCGGGACCGUGGGAGUCUAUAUCUAGGGACUGUGGGAGUCUAUAUCUAAGGACCGUGGCGUCCAUAUCUAGGGACCAUGGGGGUCCAUAUGUCGGGACCGUGGGGGGUCUAUAUCUCGGGACCGUGGGGGUCCAUAUCUAAGGACCAUAUGUCGGGACCGUGGGGUUCUGUAUCUCAGGACCGUGGGGGUCUGUAUCUAGGGACCGUAGGGAUCUGUGUCUAGGGACCGUGGGGGUCUAUAUCUAGGGACUGUGGGAGUCUAUAUCUAAGGACUGUGGCGGUCUGUAUCUCGGGACCGUGGGGGUCUAUAUCUCAGGACCGUGGGGCUCCAUAUCUCAGGACCAUGGGGGUCUGUAUCUAAGGACCGUGGAGGUCUAUAUCUCGGGACCGUGGGGGUCUCCAUCUAAGGACUGUGGGGGUCUAGCUGCUCUCUUCCAACAGUGAGCACGUGGCCUCCCUCUCUAGUGCAGACAGGGAGAGGAGCUGAACAUUUCGUCUACCCGCUCAGUUAGGGAUUGGGCCACUUCAGUCAAUCGUCCCUCUGUGUGGCUUUCCUGGAGUUUUGGUUAAGAGCCUGGCCAGUCCGUGUCUUCUUAUCCCUGACAGGCUGUCAGAGAGUCACUUCUUUCCCUGAGGUACAGGCUUAGCUCUUUAGUUGUCUGCUCAGGCAGCUUCAAAAUUUGGAAAAUGUCUUAAGGGCCAGAUUAACCUGUGCCUGGGGCAGGACCCCUUCCUCUAGAAAAGCUCUGUGUACUAAGCUCCACAAGGCUAUGCGAGACUUCAGCGCACCUGCGGAGGCCUCAGGCCUCACUUCUUAGCCUCCCCAGAAAUUUGCAAAUGUCCCAGUUUUCUGCUCCAGCCCCUGUGGUUGCCAAGAGCCCUGCUGGGUAUUUCUCCCAGUAGAAUUCCUCUUCCCCAGUGGGACCGAGGCUCAGCUCAUACCCAGCACUGGUUAAUUCCUUAAAGGGAGAGAAGCCGACAUUCAGCUCAUCUUGGAAGGGCUCUCUCUGAAUGUUUUCAUCUGGUUCUUGUUGCUUCUACAGUUCUCCAAUGUCUUUUUUAUAGAUACAUUUUUCCGGUAUUUCAAAAUUGUGGGCCGGAUGCAGUGGCUGACGCCUAUAAUCCCAGCACUUUGGGAGGGUGAGGCAGGUAGAUCACUUGAGGUCAGGAGUUUGAGACCAGCCUGGCCAACAUGGUGAAACCCCAUCUCUACUAAAAAUACAAACAAAACAAAAUUAGCUGGGCAUGGUGGCUCAUGCCUGUAGUCCCAGAAACUCAGGAGGCUGAGGCAGGAGAAUAGCUUGAACCCAGGAGGCAGAGGUUGCAGUGAGUGGAGAUCACACUACUGCACUCCAGCCUGGGCAACAGAGUGAGACUCCAUCUCAGAAAAAAAAAAUUGUGGUAAGAUACAUACGGUAGGAUUUCCUGAAGUUAUUUAUUUAUUUAUUUAUUUAUUUAUUUAUUUAUUUAUUUUACCAUCUGAGUUCUGUAAUUAAUGUGGCCUUCUCUGGUUGCUGCAAUGGGAUUGCUGACCUUCCAUAUACAUCCCCUCUGGAAUGUCAUAUUUGCAUUCUUCUGGCUUUUUUUGUUUGUUUUUUGUUUUUUUUGAGACGGAAUCUUGCUCUGUAGCCCAGGCUGGAGUGCAGUGGCGCGAUCUCGGCUCACUGCAGCCUCCGCCUCCCGGGUUCACACCAUUCUCCUGCCUCAGUCUCCUGAGUAGCUGGGACUACAGGCGCCUGCCACCAUGCCCGGCUAAAUUUUUGUAUUUUUAGUAGAGAGGGGGGUUUCACCGUGUUAGCCAGGAUGGUCUCAAUCUCCUGACCUGGUGAUCCGCCCCCCUCGGCCUCCCAAAGUGCUGGGAUUACAGGCAUGAGCCACCGCACCUGGCCGCCGGCAUCUUUAAUUCAGACUGCCAGCUUCCAGAACCCUGAGAAAUACACUUCUGUUGUACAUGCCAGUCCAUGGUGUUCUGUUACAUCAGCCCAAAGAGAAUAAGACCGCGUGGUAACAGGCCAUGAUGACCCCCUAGUGAUUGCUUUUGCCUGAUCAAGGCAAGGCACCCCCGCCCUGAGCCAGAUGCUGAGAGGGUGUGGUAGAGGCUGCACGGCAAGGGGCUGAGCCAGGUGGCUGCUGGUGCUCCUGCCUCUGACCGCCACCAUGUAUCCAGGAUCCCUGCUGGCCAGGGCGCCCACCUGCCUGCUCCGGUUUGGUUCAGGGCCGGUGUGUGUGUGUGUGUGUGUGUGUGUGUGUGUGUGUGUGGUUCCCAGGGGACCCAGUGUAGCCACAGAUGCCCCCCACCUGCCUCGAGAGGGAAAUAAACAUAAAUAUACCAAGACAGCUAUGGGGUGCUGGGGUGAGCGGUUUAUUGGAUGUUUAAAGGACAGAGAUCUGAACUCCUAGUGACUGCAGAGUGAGCAAGCACCCUGGGCUGUCCUGCAGGGCUGUCCGUGCUGGAUGUGGUGCCAGCAGGCAGGGCUUGCGGAUAGGCAUUUGCUGCAGGUGGCUGGGGCGGUGGGGGGCUGGUCUCCAGAUGCCUGGAAGGGAGGCCUUGAAAGUCAUUCUUCUUGGAUGCAUGGGCCCAUGGCAUUUCUUGGUAGAAGGUCAAAGAGAAGUGUUCAUGCUUGGCAAGGCAGGAGGGUGGGAGAUAGGGUAGUGGGUGGGGAAGGAGAGUCUGGCUCACUGGGUGCCAGGAAAAGGAGGUAAAGGCUGGGCAGGAAUGCCUGGCCAUGGUAAGAGUCCUGCAAAGCCAGAAAUCAGAUCUUGCACUGGCAGCACACGGGGACACAGCAACUGGACUGGGAGCAGCAGGGCUUGCAGCAGCUGGAUUGGCAACAGGAUGACCCACAGCCUGAGGAACAGCAGCAGGGCUUACAGCAACUGCACUGGGAGCAGGAUGACCCGCAGCCUCCCUUAGACCCCGCGCAAGAGCCACAACUGGAACAGGAACAGCAACACACGGGCACACCGCAGCCGGAGCCACAGCCCCCACAGCCGGAGCCACAACCCCCCUUGGAUCCCCCACAAGAACCGCAGCCCCCCUUGCAGCCUCCACAGGAGCCACAGCCCCCCUUGGAGCCCCCACAAGAACCACAGGCCCCCUUGGAGCACCCACAGGAGCCACAGCCCCCUUUGCCACAGCUGGAGCAGGAACAAGCUGGCACACAGCAGCACAUGGGCUUGCAGCAGCAGACAGGCACACAGCAGCUGGAGCCACAUCCCCCACAGCCGGAACCACAGCCACCCUUGGAUCCCCCACAAGAGCCACAGCCCCCCUUGGAGCCCCCACAGGAGCCACAACCCCCCUUGGAUCCCCCACAAGAGCCACAGCCCCCCUUGCAGCCUCCACAGGAGCCACAGCCCCCCUUGGAGCCCCCAGAAGAGCCACAGCCCCCUUUGCCACAGCUGGAGCAGGAACAGGUUGGCACACGGCAGCACACGGGCUUGCAGCAGCAGACGGGCACACAGCAGCUGGAGCCAGAACCUCCACAGCCAGAGCCACAGCCCCCACAGCCGGAGCCACAGCCCCCACAGCCGGAGCCACAGCCCCCACAGCUGGAGCCACAGCCUCCGGAGCAGCCGCAACAGCCCAUGGUUCUGGUGGAUUGAGGGUGGAGCAGGUAGAGGAGCAGGUGAGAGGGAGGUGCAGGUGUGGAGCUCCCUGAGCCUGGACCCUUUAUAUCCCUGCCCAGGGUCAUGUGUGAGGCUGGGCACACAUUUCCUGGUUCCUGUUUGUGCCAUUUUUAGGGCCCCUUUUUCUUGUUUCCUCUAGAAAUCCGCCCCUUGGUGUAUGGGCUGCUCAGUGGGCUGCUGCUCUCUUGCUGAAUCUGUGUCCAGACUUAAUGGAGGCCCCCAAGGGUCUAGCCUCUCCCUGUUGACUCCAGAGUCACACUGGAUUUACAAAAGCAUCUAUUUUAGGCUGGGCAUGGUGGCUCACACCUGUAAUCUCAGCACUUUGGGAGGCCUAGGCAGGUGGAUCACUUGAGGUGAGGGGUUGGAGACCAGCCUGGCCAAAAUGGUGAAAUCUCGUGUCUACUAAAAACACAAAAAUUAACUGGGUGUGGUGGCUCACAUCUGUAAUCCCAGCACUUUGGGAGGCCGAGGCAGGUGGAUCAUUUGAGGUCAGGAGUUGGAGACCAGCCUGCCCAACAUGGCAAAACCCCAUCUCUACUAAAAAUACAAAAAUUAGCCAGGCAUGGUGGUGCAUGCUUGUAACUCCAGCUACUUGGGAGGCUGAGGCAGGAGAAUGGCUUGAACCCAGAGGUGAAGGUUGCAGUGAGCAGAGAUCACACCACUGCACUCUAGUGUGGGCAACAGAGCGGGACUCUGUCUCAAAAAAAAAAAAAAAGUGAUCUAUUUUAGUUGAACGAUGGUAUAAAGAGUAAUAUAUUUAAAAAAUGUAAAAAAAAACCCUACUCAACUUGGGAAAAAAUGGCAUAAAUAAAUGAAGUCUCUGUU